UUAAGAGAAGAGAUUACUGCCAUUCAUAGCUACCAAUGGCUGCAAUCAGAUUUAUGAGAAGGCAGGCUGUUAAAAACCCUUGAGUGACUGCAAAAGAGCUGCAGCAAGACUUGAUAGCAACAGGCACUGAUGUUUCAGUGAGCACAGUACUAAAUGCAGAAGGUUUCUAAGACGUACACCACUGCUUAACCACAAGGACAAGGAAAGUCG